UACGUGGAGGAUUUUCCCAUAUAAAAAUGACAUAUGUCCAUCAUUAUCACCACUAUUUCAAUUAUCACCAUUUUUAACAAACUCUGAAAAAAAAAAGUGAGAAAAAUGGAAGAUGGUAUGAGUGAUAUUGCAAAUUUUGGAUUCUCCAACGAAUUGAAAGAAGAAAGUCAAGAAAAUGUUGGAGAAAUGAGUAAAGGUGACAAAGAAGGUGGGGUUAUUAAUAAUUUAAUUUCCAAUUUGAUGAGUCCAAGAGCAGGGGAACCUAAAAACAAAGAAAGAAAUGAACUUUUUGAGGCUUAUGAUAAGGAGAAAAGUAGUGAUGAGAGUAAUGGAGGUGGAGGGAUAAUUAACAAUUUGAUCUCCAACAUUUUUCAUCCAACUGAAAAUUCUGUGGAGAAUCAAGAAGUACAAAAAGGUGAGAUGAAGAAAACAGAGGAAGAAAGUGGGAGUGUUUUGGAUAAUAUUAUGUCUCACUUGCCAACCCCUCUUGCAGAUGAUGCAGUUCCAGCUACAGAUGAGGCUUCAAUCCUCAUUCAUUCCAUUGUUCAUGACUAAUGUAGAAGAUGAUUAAUCAAGUGGGGGUGUAUGUGGAUAGACCAUAGUUAAUUCACAUUGUGUUCACUGCUGCCUGCUGGGCUUCUUAGACAGAUAGGUGUUGAUCAGGAUCAUCAACAGGUGUUUCGUUGAGAUCACUUUGCAAUUUAGAGAGCUUGGGUGAGCCUCCUUGCAUUCUAGAGGACUUCACAUUUAUUUUCUAGUCAGUGCUCUUGAGAUGUUGUGGGUCUUGUAUCGACAUUCAUCUUGAAUAAUAGAGGGUUCAUAGAUAGAUAGAGUUAAUGAGUCUCUCAGUAUUUACUUUUCCUUGAGAUGUUUUUGCAAACUAUUUGUAACACCCCGAAAUUUUUUUAAGCUAAGACUCGGACAUUCUUCGUUGUGA